rnacentral:tRNA from 1 species
GCCUUCGUGGUGUAGUGGUCAGCACGCUCGGCGCGUAUUCGAGAGGUCCGUGGUUCGAAUCCCGGUGAGGGCA